GACGAACGCUGGCGGCGUGCUUAACGCAUGCAAGUCGAACGGAAAGGCCCUGCUUUUGUGGGGUGCUCGAGUGGCGAACGGGUGAGUAAAACGCGAGUAACAUGCCCUUGACUUUGGGAUAACUUCAGGAAACUGGGGCUAAUACCGGAUAGGAGCUACUGCUGCACGGUGGGGGUUGGAAAGUUUCGGCUGUUGGGGAUGGUCUAGAGGCUUAUCAGCUGGCUGGGGGGGUAGUGGCUUACCAAGGCUUUGACGGGUAGGCGGCCUGGGAGGUUGACCGGGCUCAUUGGGACUGAGAGACGGCCCAGACGCCUACGGGAGGCAGCAGGGGGGAAUAUUGCACAAUGGGCGGAAGCCUGAUGCAGCAGCGCCGCGUGCGUGAUGACGGCCUUCGGGUUGUGAACCGCUUUCGCCUGAGACGAAGCGUGAGUGACGGUAAUGGGUAAAGAAGCACCGGCUAACUACGUG
rnacentral:rRNA from 1 species